rnacentral:rRNA from 1 species
CAGCCGCCGCGGGAAUACGUAGGGUGCAAGCGUUAAUCGGAAUUACUGGGCGUAAAGCGUGCGCAGGCGGUUAUAUAAGACAGAUGUGAAAUCCCCGGGCUCAACCUGGGAACUGCAUUUGUGACUGUAUAGCUAGAGUACGGCAGAGGGGGAUGGAAUUCCGCGUGUAGCAGUGAAAUGCGUAGAUAUGCGGAGGAACACCGAUGGCGAAGGCAAUCCCCUGGGCCUGUACUGACGCUCAUGCACGAAAGCGUGGGGAGCAAACAGGAUUAGAUACCCGCGUAGUCCCUGUCUCUUAUAA